rnacentral:lncRNA from 1 species
GUUUAAGUGCCUCUCUUCACCUGAUCUCGUUCUUCCGAUCGGGUUGACGUGGAGGAAAGAGGAUCGUCCGAUCGAGACCUGUUUAAGCGAUUUUAAUGUGCAAAUAUGGGUCAUCCAUCUUGACUUUGAGGAGUGAAUCCUGCUUGUUCAUCUCUCAACCGUUGAUCAAUACCGUCUGUUUGAAUAUGGGCAGGAUUUGUAAUCCGACCGUUCGUGCGAGCGGAAAUGGAUGUCGACUGUUUGAUCCGCUUAGCAUGCGGAUCGCCAACCUAGCUUCUUGCAUGGAAGCGCAAGCUGACACAGUUGCCACGCAGCGUACUGUGGUUCGCCAAG